UGCCUCUUGCUCUGUCCGCAUCCCCGGCUUAGUCCUUCAGAGCUUACAUCAUGUGGCCGAGUUUAUAUACCUGAUUGGCAAAACAGAGCCUAAGAACCAGCUCUCCUGUAUCCCAAGCAAGGCUCUUUCUACCGCACACCCUGCAGGCCCAUCCAGGCCCAUCCAGACAAUAAACACUGACGGCCCAGAGGGUGGGUGCCAAUUCCACCAGCAGCUGCAACUGAAAAGCAAGGUUCAGAAAUGUCAGAUAUCCUCCGGGAGCUGCUCUGUGUCUCUGAGAAGGCUGCUAACAUUGCCCGGGCGUGCAGACAGCAGGAAGCCCUCUUCCAGCUGCUGAUCGAAGAAAAGAAAGAGGGAGAAAAGAACAAGAAGUUUGCAGUUGACUUCAAGACGCUGGCUGAUGUACUGGUACAGGAAGUUAUAAAACAGAAUAUGGAGAACAAGGGGAAAAGAUUACCUUGAGGUUGUGUUCAACCAGAGG
rnacentral:sRNA from 1 species